GGAUUUGAGAGCGAUCUGGCUGUCACCCCAUUGAUCGCCAGGGUUGAUUCGGCUAAUCUGGCUGGCUAGACGGGUGUUCCCUUCCUCCUUCACUGCUCCAUGUGCGUCCCUCCUGAAGCUGCGUGCUUGGUUGAAGAGGACGACCUCCCAGAUAGGAGUACCAUUCUUCAGUCAAGGGUAUACAAUAGCUACACUCCCCUGCUAAAACUUCCGUAAGCAUAAAUAUAAAAUGGGGAACAACCGAUUAGGCUGUAGCACUGGAGUCAAGGAUCUGGAAGUUAAGUUGGAUCAUAAAUUGAACAUGAGUCAAAAAAGGAAAAUGCUAUUUUGAGUU
rnacentral:snRNA from 1 species